GGACCCUUGUCCUGCGGCCGCACCUGGGUGCCACCCUGCUUCCUCGGGGCAGAAAGCCCCAGAGGCAGGCCUGAGGGAGGUGCCCAGAAAGGUUGAGGGAUGUCCUAGUUCUGGUGAUGGCAGGGGCUGGGGACGAAGGACAGGCUUGGGCACCCCCUUUCUGCCAUGGCUGCUCCCUGACUGGCCUUUUGGCAGCUACAUGUGAGCUCCCAGGGCCUGCCUGGCCGUGCUGGUCAGAGACGGUCCCCUGCCUGCUGGCUGCCCUCAGCCUCUUGAGAGAAGGGCAGAGGGCAUGCUCACCUGCUUCAUCCGGUCCAAGUCGAAGGCAUCCAGGGCCAUGUCAUUCACGCUCCCAGCAGGCUUCAUCCUGGGAGAGAAAGGGCCUGUGG
rnacentral:lncRNA from 1 species